GCAGCAACGCCGCGUGAGGGACGACGGCCUUCGGGUUGUAAACCUCUUUUAGCAGGGAAGAAGCGAAAGUGACGGUACCUGCAGAAAAAGCACCGGCUAACUACGUGCCAGCAGCCGCGGUAAUACGUAGGGUGCAAGCGUUGUCCGGAAUUAUUGGGCGUAAAGAGCUCGUAGGCGGUUUGUCGCGUCUGCUGUGAAAUCCCGAGGCUCAACCUCGGGCCUGCAGUGGGUACGGGCAGACUAGAGUGCGGUAGGGGAGAUUGGAAUUCCUGGUGUAGCGGUGGAAUGCGCAGAUAUCAGGAGGAACACCGAUGGCGAAGGCAGAUCUCUGGGCCGUAACUGACGCUGAGGAGCGAAAGCGUGGGGAGCGAACAGGAUUAGAUACCCUGGUAGUCCACGCCGUAAACGUUGGGAACUAGAUGUGGGGACCAUUCCACGGUCUCCGUGUCGCAGCUAACGCAUUAAGUUCCCCGCCUGGGGAGUACGGCCGCAAGGCUAAAACUCAAAGGAAUUGACGGGGGCCCGCACAAGCGGCGGAGCAUGCGGAUUAAUUCGAUGCAACGCGAAGAACCUUACCAAGGCUUGACAUAUACGAGAACGGGCCAGAAAUGGUCAACUCUUUGGA
rnacentral:rRNA from 1 species